rnacentral:misc_RNA from 1 species
UGAGAGAUGGAAGGCACCAACCAAUAUCUAUAUUUGAUAUUGUGGUGGGUGAUAUCGUUUCUUUGAAGAUUGGAGAUCAGAUACCAGCUGAUGGCUUGUUCUUGUAUGGUUAUUCUUUGAAGGUGAACGAGUCCAGUAUUACAGGUGAAAGCGACCAUGUUGAGGUCAAUGGCACCUUAAACCCAUUCCUGAUUUCUGGAACAAAGGUGAUGGAUGGGUUUGGUUCGAUGCUUGUUACAUCCGUUGGCAUGAAUACAGCCUGGGGUGAGAUGAUGAGUUCCAUAACCCGGA